rnacentral:rRNA from 1 species
UAGGGAAUCUUCCACAAUGGGCGAAAGCCUGAUGGAGCAACGCCGCGUGUGUGAUGAAGGGUUUCGGCUCGUAAAACACUGUUGUAAGAGAAGAAUGACAUUGAGAGUAACUGUUCAAUGCGUGACGGUAUCUUACCAGAAAGGAACGGCUAAAUACGUACCAG